rnacentral:rRNA from 1 species
GUUAGCGGCGGACGGGUGAGUAACACGUAGGCAACCUGCCUGUAAGACUGGGAUAACUACCGGAAACGGUAGCUAAGACCGGAUAAGUGAUUGUCUCGCAUGAGGGGAUCAAGAAACACGGGGCAACCUGUGGCUUACAGAUGGGCCUGCGGCGCAUUAGCUAGUUGGUGGGGUAACGGCUCACCAAGGCGACGAUGCGUAGCCGACCUGAGAGGGUGAUCGGCCACACUGGGACUGAGACACGGCCCAGACUCCUACGGGAGGCAGCAGUAGGGAAUCUUCCGCAAUGGACGCAAGUCUGACGGAGCAACGCCGCGUGAGUGAUGAAGGUUUUCGGAUCGUAAAGCUCUGUUGCCAGGGAAGAACGUCGUGGAGAGUAACUGCUCUGCGAAUGACGGUACCUGAGAAGAAAGCCCCGGCUAACUACGUGCCAGCAGCCGCGGUAAUACGUAGGGGGCAAGCGUUGUCCGGAAUUAUUGGGCGUAAAGCGCGCGCAGGCGGCCGCUUAAGUCUGGUGUUUAAGCCCGAGGCUCAACCUCGGUUCGCACUGGAAACUGGGUGGCUUGAGUGCAGGAGAGGAAAGCGGAAUUCCACGUGUAGCGGUGAAAUGCGUAGAGAUGUGGAGGAACACCAGUGGCGAAGGCGGCUUUCUGGCCUGUAACUGACGCUG